UCAGGCCUAUCCUUUUAUUCUCAGUGUUGC
rnacentral:piRNA from 1 species